rnacentral:rRNA from 1 species
AAUCCAGUUUAUCCUGCUGGCGGAUGCGGCUAUCUGGUUUAUACUUAGGCAUGCAAGUCUCCCGCGAGGGGGCGAACUGCUCAGUAACACGUAGCUAACCUACCCUUAGAUCAUAGAUAACCUCGGGAAACUGAGGAUAAACUGUGAUAGGAAAUUGUUUCUGGAAUGAGCAAUUUCUCAAAUUCGAGUCUAAGGAUGGGGCUGCGGCUGAUUAGGUAGUUGUUGGUGUAAAGGACUAACAAGCCAAUUAUCAGUAAGGGCUCUUAGCGGAGAAGCCCUGAGAAGGAAUCUGAGACACUAUUCCUAGUCCUACGGGGUGCAGCAGCUGAGGAACUUUUUCAAUGCGCGCAAGCGUGAAAGAGUAAGCCAGAGUGUUGUUCUUAGAACAACUUUUGUUUGCUGUAAAAAGGCAGACGAAUAAGGACUGGGCAAGACCGGUGCCAGCCGCCGCGGUAAUCCCG